GAAGGUCCCUGCUUCCCCUUUGCCUUCCACCAUGAUUGUGAGUUUCCUGAGGCCUCGCCAGCCAUGUGGAACCAUGGAGUCUUACCCUGUUGCCCAGGCUGGAGUGCGGUGGUGCCAUCUCGGCUCACUGCAACCUCCGCCUCCCAGGUUCAAGCGAUUCUCCUGCUUCACCCUCCCGAGUAGCUGGGAUUACAGUUACUGCUAUGAGCGGGAAACGAAUCCACAUUAUGUCCUUUAAUCCUCCUAACAACCACUGAAGGGGCCAUUAUUUCCAAUCAACAGAUAAGAAGAUGGAGGCCUAGACAGGUUGAAUAAGUUGUCUAAGAUUUCACAGAGAAGACUCUUCGGUAUUCCACCGUGGGAUGGUAAAGAUCUGGCUGCCAGGAUUCAGUAAGAAAAGGAGGAUUCUGGCUUUCUUAUCCAUCAUGUAAAUGUCCCCUGUUUUGAGGAUGGUUCCCCUGUCAUCUACUGUAUCCCGUAUUCUUAACAUAGCCAAAAUAAACAGCCACACACUUACUGAAAUCAUAUCAUAUGUGCAUUUUUAAAGAAUAAAUAACUUUAUAUUCCAUUUGUAUAACAUUUUAUUGUUUGCGUAUUGCAUAGUGAAAAGAACAGAGUCAGAAGACUCAUGGUCAGGCUCAACUAACUUGCUGUGUAAAUUGGAUAGAUCUCUUAACCUUGCUAAACCCUUACUUCCUCAUCUGAAAAACAGAGAUAAUACUUAUUUUACAGAAUUGCUAAAUACUGAAUGAGUUACUUAUACUGUUUUCCUCUUAAGUAAUUAGUCAAAAUAAUUAUAGAGUUUGCUAUUGCUAACCCCUUGUUCAUCAUCUCAAUGCUGUUCUCAAUAAAUGCAUUAAGACAACAGGUACCAAUGUAACACUUUAAUUUUGAAUAUUAACAAUAGCAAAAGAAAAACAAACUCAAAAAUGACCCUACCCUUUAUUAUUUUUAGAAUACUGGCUUUUAAAUACUUAUUGAUACUAUCCCAUCAGGAACUCAAUUCAUUUAAAUAUUUUUUUUCUUCUUCAACCUACUCAAAAUGAAUACCUACAUAUGUGAAAAACCCAAGAUUACAUGUGUAAUUACUUUAUAGUUUCCUCUCUGGCAUAGUAUAAGUAAAAUACAUAUCAUGGGCAAUUAAAUACUUCCCUCUGCUACAUUAGGGAUGAUAAUAUAUAUGAAGAUUAAUUCCUUAUGCAUUAUCCCUAAUGUAAAGAAAAAUCACAGGUAUUUUAUACUGCUUGUCAAGAAUACAUACACAUGGUAGACACAGCUAGACAUACACACCCCUUCUAAGAAUAUUUCAACUAUCAUCAAUAUCUUUUGUAUGAUCCCUUACAACUAUCUGUAGUUGAAAACAUAAGACUCCCUUUUAAGGUAAUUCUGUAUGAAACUGUAUUAUAAAAUACUUUUGUUAAGCAAAAUUGCAUGUGUGUGUUGAACCCCCAAACACUCAAAGUACUUUACUACUCUUAAAAGAUAAACAAAAUUCUUAUACAUUAUAAAAAAAAUUUAAGCUGCUCUGCAACCCUCCUUUGCUAAAAGUUAGAUACAUUACACCACUCCAGCAAGAGAUUAAUAAAUAAGGAUUAAAUAUUCUGUUUUACAAAAACAUACAGAAUGGCCAAUAUAAAAGUGAAAACCUUGCUUGAGAAUUUAACAAAUUAUGUUCAUUAAGAAGGAAUAAGACAUGAUAUAAAAUGAUCACUAAAUUUACCUCUCUUAAGAUAAUCACGAGUUAUCUAAAAA